rnacentral:rRNA from 1 species
CAGUCGCCACGGUAAAACGUAGGUCCCGAGCGUUGUCCGGAUUUAUUGGGCGUAAAGGGAGCGCAGGCGGUUUAGUAAGUCUGAAGUUAAAGGCAUUGGCUCAACCAAUGUAUGCUUUGGAAACUGUUAGACUUGAGUGCAGAAGGGGAGAGUGGAAUUCCAUGUGUAGCGGUGAAAUGCGUAGAUAUAUGGAGGAACACCGGUGGCGAAAGCGGCUCUCUGGUCUGUCACUGACGCUGAGGCUCGAAAGCGUGGGUAGCGAACAGGAUUAGAUACCCCCGUAGUCCCUGUCUCUUAUACA